rnacentral:rRNA from 1 species
CCUACGGGUGGCAGCAGUGAGGAAUAUUGGACAAUGGGCGAAAGCCUGAACCAGCCAAGUCGCGUGAAGGAUGAAGGAUCUAUGUUUUGUAAACUUCUUUUAUAUGGAAAUAAAGUGAGGAACGUGUUCAUUAUUCUAUGUACAAUUUGAAUAAGCAUCGGCUAACUCCGUGCCAGCAGCCGCGGUAAUACGGAGGAUGCGAGCGUUAUCCGGAUUUAUUGGGUUUAAAGGGUGCGUAGGUGGUUAAUUAAGUCAGCGGUGAAAGUUUGGGGCUCAACCAUAAAAUUGCCGUUGAAACUGGGUGACUGGAGUAUAGUUGAGGUAGGCGGAAUGCGUGGUGGAGCGGUGAAAUGCAUAGAUAUCACGCAGAACUCCGAUGGCGAAGGCAGCUUACUAAACUAUAACUGACACUGAAGCACGAAAGCGUGGGGAUCAAACAGGAUUAGAUACCCGUGUAGUC